rnacentral:lncRNA from 1 species
GGAAACCCUGUCCCAUAGAAGUUAGUCGAGGGGGAGGAGUUUCAGUACUUCCUCAGUUGUCGGAGUUAUGCUGCCCCUGACAUACACACAUUAUCUUCUCACAAACACACUCUCUUCUCACACACUGUCACACACUCUGUUCUCACACACUGUCAGAAACUCUCCCGGCUGCGUUCAUUACAGUCCGUUGCUCUUUCCAAACACAGGGACAGGAGCAGAAUGACUGGGCUUUAACCUGGUGGAGGGGAAAGUUUCCCUCACUGGGGGUAAACAGACUGAGGACACACUGGGACUACUAUACUGGACUACUGUACCAAUACCACCCUCAUGACGAAUGAAGUGACAGGAGAGAGCAGACAGCAGGACAGAGACAUCUCCCCUGCUGAGCUGGAUGCACUAUGGAGAGAACCACCGUACACACUAGCGGGAACCAAUCAGCACUUCCCAGGGAAUGAUGUCAUGAAUCCAGGUAACUACAGGGUGGAGUCUGGGAGCGGGGAGGUAGAGUCGGAUAGUUACUGGAAGAGG